AGAGCGAACGCUGGCGGCAGGCCUAACACAUGCAAGUCGAGCGCCCGUAGCAAUACGGGAGCGGCAGACGGGAUAGUAACACGUGGGAACGCGCCCUUCGGUUCGGAAUAACUCAGGGAAACUUGAGCUAAUACCGGAUACGCCCUUACGGGGAAAGAUUUAUUGCCGAAGGAACGGCCCGCGUCCGAUUAGCUAGUUGGUGAGGUAAUGGCUCACCAAGGCGACGAUCGGUAGCUGGUCUGAGAGGAUGACCAGCAUCACUGGGACUGAGACACGGCCCAGACUCCUACGGGAGGCAGCAGUGGGGAAUAUUGGACAAUGGGCGCAAGCCUGAUCCAGCAAUGCCGCGUGGAUGAAGAAGGUUUUCGGAUUGUAAAGUCCUUUCGGCGGGGACGAUGAUGACGGUACCGCAGAAGAAGCCCCGGCUAACUUCGUGCCAGCAGCCGC
rnacentral:rRNA from 1 species